AGGCAGAGAUGCUGCGCCUCGCGGACGAACGGAUUUGGUCAGGAUUCUGGGUGCAGAAACGAGACUCCGGAUUGGUUUCAGAAUCAGGUCCUCCCGAACAAUGCUACUGGGGAAAUAGCCCAGGCGGGCAGCCGUGUCUCCAUAGUAAUCUCCCUGGACCUGGAGAAGAACUUCUUCCACUCAGCCAGCUUGGGCAUGUCACGAUCAGCCCCGCUGGGCCCUGGGAAAACAGACAAGAAGAUGGCACCAAGGAGUACUGGGGACCGCACCAUCGUGGACUGAGAAUGACCAAGUGAGGAAUGGGAUCUCCAGUCUCCUGCUGCCCUCCCUCAGUGCUGAGCCACAAGGAAAGCUGUGUUCUCAAUCCUGUCUCCGCCCCAGACCAAAUUACACCCCCCCCCACCCACUCCCCAAGGUUGUUAUUCAGACAGAACCAUUUCAGAGACAGGGUAAGGGCUAUGGGCCAAAGAAAAUGCCCCCUGGAGCCCAAAGCAACCCAGGCCACUCCAAAUAGCAGCUACCCCCUCAAUAAUCAGAGACCUGGAUAGGCAGGCUGAACUAAUCAGAUUUCUUCUUCAAGUCAUUUCAGGUACCCGGACCCUCCAGAGACCAAACUAGAGAGGCCAGCAUAGAAAACCACCUUGGAAUUUCCUGUGCCAGGAACAAGGCAGUUCUUUGAUUAGCAGCCACAGCCACAGUUCCCAGGUACUGAGCAAACACCCAAUGUCCAGUCUCAGGCUAGGAGUGUCCCACCUGGCUUACUGUGCAUCUUCACAGGCUUCCUCUUCCCUGGAAGGCCUGAGCUAAGCUAUGUCAGCCCCCCUCAUCUGCAAAGACAGCAAUGAAAGUAAAGGACAUUUAUCAAAUGUUAUUUUUGUUUUGGUGUGUAAAUGUUUUGUUACAUAUAUGUCUGUGUACCGCAUGUGUGCUUGGUACCCUUGAAGGUUUUGGAACUGGAGCUACAGACAGUGACAGUUGUGUGCCCCCACAAACCUGAGUCUAGAAGAGCAUCCAGUGCUCUGCUCUUAACUGAGCCAUCAUUCCAGCCCACCAUCCCCUCCUUUUGUUUUUAAUGUUCAUUGGUGUUUUGCCUGCAUGUACGUCUGUGUGAUGCUGUCAGUUACAGUUGUUAGCUGCCGUGUGGGUGCUGGGAAUUGAACCCAGGUCCUCUGGAAGAGCACUCAGUACUCUUUAACUGCGGAGCCAUUUCUCCAGCUCCCAGUCCACCCUUUUUUGGAAACAGAGUUCUACUACAUAGUCUUGGCUGUUCUGGGACUCCCUAUAUAGAGCAGGCUGGCCUCAAAGUCACAAGGGAUCCACCUGCCUCUGCCUUCCCGGUGAUGGGUAAGGCAUGCACCACCAUGCAGGGUUAGAAUCAAGUAUAUUUUCCCCCCUAGGGGCUCUAACAAGCCCAGUUCAUGAAGAAAUUAUUAAUAUAGUCAAGGAACAUGUGUGCAAAGUAACUGACCCAUGAAGGGGGCCAAGAUUUGUCUCAAGGUUUCCAAGUAUCAGUGUUAUCUGGCCUGAGGAAUAGCUCAACAGAUAAUCAGGGAACAGAGGCCCAAAAAUUGUGUCUGGGGACCUCAUAAAGAUGUUAUAUGGCUUAGUGGCUGUGGCAGUUUGAAUGAGAACUGUGCCUAUAGGCUAUUACAGUUGAGUGGUUCUCAGUUGUGGGGCUAUUUAGGAAGGAUUGGGACAGGUUGCUUUGUUGGAGGAUGUGUCACUGGGGGUGGGCUUUGAGGUUUCAAAAGCCCAGCUCUCUGCCUCCAUCUGGCAGAUCAGAUGUAAGCUCCAGCACCUUGCUGGCCUCUUGCCAUGAUAGCCACCAUAAUGGCCAUGAACUAAUCCUCCCAAACUGUAAACAAGCCAAGUAAAUGUUUUCUUUUUAAAUUGCUUUGGUCCUGGUGUCUCUUACAGCAAUAGAAUAGUAACUAAAAUAGGGUUGAAUGUCUGUUAGUCUCGGGUUUAAUCCUCAACACAAAAAUAAUGUAUGCUAAUUUAUCAUUUAUACAAGGGGCCUGGGAUGGAGCGUGUCAAGCCUUCACAAAGCCCCUGGGUUCAGUGUCCAACAAAAAAUACAACCGGUAAGAUCAGUGUGAAUUAAGAGCUUAGGUUAUGGAGAUUUACUUAAAAGCUUUGGUCAUAAGCUGGUAUAAGAAAAGCUGGUAGCAGAGAACAUGAGAUAGCGUGUUGUCUUCAUGUUUGAAUUCCCAAUUUAAAAUGUGAAUGCGUUCCAGUGUGCAGUGGUUGUUUCCGUGUAAACACUACACUAGCUUCAAAUCUUAGCACCAUCAAGACUCAUCAGGGAAAAAGCUGAAGGCCUCUGGGAGACAAUUAUCCAAUAAAUAGGAGGCUGUGGAUGAGGCUCAGUUGGUAGGACCUGGCCUGGUACUGGGUUCUGAGGUCCACCCAGAGGCCGAAUAACUUGGGCAGUGAGGUUAGGACAUAUCAUCCUGCUAUAUGGUGACUUCUAAGUCAACAAACUACCCCAAAACCUCAGUUGUCAGUUCCUAACACCACAUGGUGGCUCACAACCAUUCCUAAGUCCAGUUCCUAAAAUUAAAAAACAAAAACUUCUGAUAUAGGACACUUUAAUCCCAGUACUCAGGAGGCAGAGGCAGGCAGAUCUCUGUGAGUUUGAGGCCAGCCUGAACUACAGAGCUAGUUUCAGGAUAGCCAUGGCUACACAAACCCUGCCUCAAAAAACAAAACAAAAACAAAAAAAGAGAUUUGAGGGUACAAAGGGUGUGUGUGUGUAGCAUUUUAAUAAAAACUCAGAGACAGAUAUUGGGGUUCAACCUGAAAUUCAGAAAGCAGAGCACUCAGCCACUUCCUCUUACCUCUACCUCAGUCCAAAAAUGGCCAUCCCGCCUCCAGGAAACCUCAGAAAUGAGACUGAGUCUGAGAGCUGUCUCCUCUUGUCUUAUAAUCCUCUCUAGGGCUGAGAUUAAAGGCGUGCACCACCACCGCCCAGCUAGAAGUAUUUUUUAAAUUUUAAAUUACAAGUUAUUUUGAAUACUGAAAUGAAAUCCCACCUAGUUCCAUUUCAGCACGCCAAGGAUGUGAAUCAGAUUUGUGUCCAGUCUAGCACAUUGUACACGUUAUCAUCAUUCAUGGAAGCAGACCACGGCUAUGUUCAACUGCCUGUGACUAAGUCAUCCUUACUGUACUUCAUAGUGGACUCAGCACAGAAGCAGCGAUGCUGCCAAGUGUGCUGACGUAGACCUAUAGUUCCAGCAUUUGGGAGUCUGGGCAGGAGGAUCUGGAAUGUACAAAGCACAAACAAGCAAACAUUUUAUUUUUAAACUUUUAUUUAUGUAUAUGGGGGGGGGGGGUGCAUGUGAGUGCAGCUGCCUAUGGAGGCCAUAAGAAGGCAUUAGAUGCCCUGGGGCUGGAGUCACAGGCAAUUAUGAACCAAAGAGGGUGUUGGGACCAAACCUGGGCCCCUGAAAGAGCAAAUGAUCUUCACUGCUCUGCUUAGUCAUCGCUCUACUACCACACGGGGGGGGGGGGGGGGGGGGAGAACGACCUUAGCCAAAAAGUUUCAGGCUUUCUCCAAGGGAUGAGGUAAAAGGUUUCCAUUUUAAAAAAGCCAGGUAAUGGUAGUGCAUGCCUUUAAUCCCAGCACGCAGGAGGCAGAGACGGGUGGAUCUCUGUGAGUUCAAGGCCAGCCUGAUCUGCAGAGCAAGUUCCAGGACAGCCGGGGCUAUUACACAGAGGAAAAACCAAAAGAAUGGAAAUAACAGAUUCUGUGAAAUUGUGAGGAAAAAAGUUGCUAGUUUUACCGUCACACCUCCCACUGCCAAAGUUACAGCUGUUAAUAUGAUCAAUGCUUAGUUGACGUGAAAUGUAAGAGGCCAGGUGUGAUGGGAGAUGCUGAUACACACUGGGAAGGUGCAGGCAAGGGGGUUGGCUCAGCCUAGCUCAGAGAAGAGCGAAGAGCACUGGCUGCACUUCCAGAGGUCCUGAGUUCAAUUCCAAGCACCUACAUGGUGGCUCACAACCAUCUGUAAUGGGGUCUGGCGCCCUCUUCUGGUGGGCAUGAAGACAGGUCACUCACAUACAUAAAUAAACAUAAAAAAGUCAAGAUGGAAAAAAGUACUGCAGGAUUCUGAACUCAGGCUUCAGUUAGACAGGGAUUUUGCUUCUGAAGCAGGUCACCAGUUCAAAACCACAGGGGAUUUUAAAAGCACAAACACCAGAGCCAUGUUCAAAGACCCAGGCUAACCACACACACAGUUCAUACGGGACCCAUGUGACCAAGGCAGCUUCUACUGCCCACCCUGUACUCCCCUCACCCAUCUCACCACAUUCAGCUCAAGCACUAAAGCACCCCCACCUCAGGAUCUUGGCACUGCCUCCAGAAAUGCUCUGGUGGCCGAGUAGCUGGGGCACUUGGUCCAAGACCACCUUCGCUUCGGGCAGUACUGGCCACUCUACACUGCUGUGCUUUGACUUUCAUUUUCUGCCCUGCAGAAGAGAAAACUGGCCCCAAGUUCAGUCACUUGUCAAGAUCACAGCAGUGACUCAGGGCACCCUGACCUCUGAGCCUGCCAGGCACAACCUCGCGGCAGGCAGGCAAUGGUCACACAUUGGCUUAGUCAGAAAGGAGUUUAUCAGGGGGUGGAGAUAAAUGAAACACCUCUACAAACCCAGCACUAGCGGCUCCACCUAGGACACCUCCUCAGAGGAACUUUCCCCUGAUUAGCCUACUGUUCCUAGCUCUACAGCCCCACCACAGCAGCUCAGGCUGCCAGGGAACUCAGGGCAAUCCCCCUACCCCAGCCUUCUGGGUACUAGGACCAAAGUCCUGCCUAUCAGCUUUAAUUUUCGCUCUCAAGUUUUAUUCAGCAUCUCCUAGUAUUCAGCAAGUAUAUACUGAAUCUGCUGAUUGCUGGCACGGUGCCUGGUGGUGUUCGUGGGAACAAACAUGAUCAUCAUCAUGGCGGGAACAAGAGUUCUCACACAGGAAGAAAAAACUGCCCACUGAGUGACAGCUAGGGAGGCCCCAAACUACUACAAAUCAGAUGGGCUAACCACAGAACCCACAUGUCACAGCCAUUAGGCCAAUGUGGAAAGAGAUGUUUCCACUUGCCUGUCUGCAAUAACAUGGGAGUCCCUUAGUGAUGCAAGCAACAGCUCUGUCCUGCUCUUUCAAAUGCCACAGGGACAGCUUCAGUGAGCCAUUCCUCUGUAAUAGCGUGCAGAAGCUGGCCCUUCUGAAGCAGGAGUAUCCUUGUGCAGCUCACGACCUGCCCAAAUGCACACGGUGUCUUUCCUGUCCUCAAUAAUGGUUUUCUAAGAUUGUGAGCGAACCCACAGAGGCCAGGAGAUUCAACCUCUCCAUGUGGAUGGAACCAAGGAAGACAAAAUAAAACAGACAAUAGUGGUGAAAAACCAACCCUCAAAAAAACCACUUUAAUCACAAGCUAACAGCGCCAGGUGCAAUGUCUGGGGACAGACUCUGGGUACAAUGCUGUGUGGCAACCACACACUCACACGCGGCUCUGAGAAGGCCCCCAAGGGGGACUUACCUUCAGGGACUGAGCCAAAGGGGGGGUAAGGGGCAGCCCCAGAAUGGGGACCGGGACGCCCCGUGGGGGAAGGCGCUACUUCUUGGCAAAAGAGAUCUUCAUGGCAUUGUUCUGCGUGAUCUUAAA